rnacentral:rRNA from 1 species
UACGAAGGGUGCAAACGUUGCUCGGAAUUAUUGGGCGUAAAGCGCACGUAGGCGGCUUUGCAAAGUCCCAUGUGAAAGCCCACGGCUUAACCGUGGAAGUGCAUGGGAAACUGCAGAGCUUGAGUACUUAAGAGGAUCGCGGAAUUCCCGGUGUAGAGGUGAAAUUCGUAGAUAUCGGGAGGAACACCAGUGGCGAAGGCGGCGAUCUGGGAAGAUACUGACGCUGAGGUGCGAAAGCGUGGGGAGCAAACAGG